rnacentral:rRNA from 1 species
AACGAACGCUGGCGGCAUGCCUAACACAUGCAAGUCGAACGAGACCGUCGGGUCUAUUUGCGCACCGGUGCGUAACGCCUGGUAACCUGCCCGUAGGUUCGGAAUAACUCACCGAGAGGUGUGCUAAUACCGCUGAAUGUCUUCCCACCUAGGAUCUAUCGCCUUUGGAUGGGGCCGCGUUGGAUUCGCUAGUUGGUAGGGUAAAAGCCUACCAAGGCGACGAUCCAUAGCUGGUCUGAGAGGAUGCUCAGCCAGAAUGGGACUGAGACACGGCCCAGAAUCAUACGGGAGGGAGCAGUGGGGAAUACUGGGCGAUGGGAGAAAGUCUGGUCCCGCAGUGUGGGGUGAGUGAUGAAGGGCUUAGGGUUGUAAAGCUCUUUUACCCGGGAUGAUAAUGACAGUACCGGGAGAAUAAGCACCGGCUAACUCCGUG